rnacentral:rRNA from 1 species
UGGGUGGGUAAAACCAUUUAGUACCGUAGCUAACGCGUGAAGUUGACCGCCUGGGGAGUACGGCCGCAAGGUUAAAACUCAAAGGAAUUGACGGGGACCCGCACAAGCGGUGGAUGAUGUGGAUUGGAGUUGGAUGCGAACGCGAAAAACCUUACCUACCCUUGACAUGUCCAGAAGCCCGAAGAGAUUUGGGUGUGCCCGAAAGGGAGCUGGAACACAGGUGCUGCAUGGCUGUCGUCAGCUCGUGUCGUGAGAUGUUGGGUUAAGUCCCGCAACGAGC